GGGAAGUGAAACAUCUCAGUACCCUUAGGAAAAGAAAUCAAUUGAGAUUCCCUCAGUAGCGGCGAGCGAACGGGGAAAAGCCCAUUAAGUCAUAUCAGUUUUAGUGGAAUGCUCUGGGAAGUGCAACCAUAGUGGGUGAUAGUCCUGUACACGAAAGGGCUGAUAUGAUGAUGUCGAGUAGGGCGGGGCACGUGAAACCUUGUCUGAA
rnacentral:rRNA from 1 species